rnacentral:rRNA from 1 species
GACGAACGCUGGCGGCGUGCUUAACACAUGCAAGUCGAGCGGAGCGGCGAACGGGUGAGUAACGCGUGAGUACCUGCCCCCCUCUCUGGGAGAACAGUUGGAAACGGCUGCUAAUAACGGAAAGUGGGGGAUGUCUCGGGUACUCUCAGCUUGUUGGGGUGGUAUUGGCCUAACAAGGCGACGACGGGUAGCCGGCCUGAGAGGGCGACCGGCCACAUUGUGCUGAGAUACGGGCCAAACUGCUACGGGAGGCAGCAGGGGGGAAUAUUGCACAAGGGGGGAAACGCUGAUGGAGCACCGCCGCGUGCGGGAUGACUGCCUUCGGGUUGUAAACCGCUUUCAGCCAUGACGCGGUAGUGGCAGAAGAAGCACCGGCUAACUACGUGCCAGCAGCCGCGGUAAUAC